rnacentral:lncRNA from 1 species
GAUAACGUACCAAUUGCAGCUGUAUUAGACGAUCAGAUAAAAGUCUAGACCAUGCCAAUGAACUUGACAAAGCUGAUUUUUCUUCAAUCUUCGGUGUUUUUCACGUGCUUCUUGAAUAUAUGCGGCUCAUGCCAAUAGGCAAUCAGAUUUAGACUUAUCAAAUAUAUCACAAAGUCCUAUAGUAGCAGCCAAUGUCAAUAAGUUCAUGGUCAGCACUAGCCAC